rnacentral:rRNA from 1 species
UGGGGAAUAUUGCACAAUGGGCGCAAGCCUGAUGCAGCCAUGCCGCGUGUAUGAAGAAGGCCUUCGGGCUGUAAAGUACUUUCAGCGGGGAGGAAGGUGUUGUGGUUAAUAACCACAGCAAUUGACGUUACCCGCAGAAGAAGCACCGGCUAACUCCGUGCCAGCAGCCGCGGUAAUACGGAGGGUGCAAGCGUUAAUCGGAAUUACUGGGCGUAAAGCGCACGCAGGCGGUCUGUCAAGUCGGAUGUGAAAUCCCCGGGCUCAACCUGGGAACUGCAUCCGAAACUGGCAGGCUUGAGUCUUGUAGAGGGGGGUAGAAUUCCAGGUGUAGCGGUGAAAUGCGUAGAGAUCUGGAGGAAUACCGGUGGCGAAGGCGGCCCCCUGGACAAAGACUGACGCUCAGGUGCGAAAGCGUGGGGAGCAAACA